UACGUAGGGGGCAAGCGUUGUCCGGAAUCAUUGGGCGUAAAGAGCGUGUAGGCGGUCCGGUAAGUCGGCUGUGAAAGCCCAGGGCUCAACCCUGGAAUUGCCUUCGAUACUGUCUGGCUAGAGACCGGAAGAGGUAAGUGGAACUGCGAGUGUAGAGGUGAAAUUCGUAGAUAUUCGCAAGAACACCAGUGGCGAAGGCGGCUUACUGGUCCGGUUCUGACGCUGAGGCGCGAAAGCGUGGGGAGCAAACAGG
rnacentral:rRNA from 1 species